AUUGAACGCUGGCGGCAUGCCUUACACAUGCAAGUCGAACGGCAGCGGGGGAGAAGCUUGCUUUUCCUGCCGGCGAGUGGCGAACGGGUGAGUAAUACAUCGGAACGUGCCCUGUAGUGGGGGAUAACUAGUCGAAAGAUUAGCUAAUACCGCAUACGACCUGAGGGUGAAAGUGGGGGACCGCAAGGCCUCAUGCUAUAGGAGCGGCCGAUGUCUGAUUAGCUAGUUGGUGGGGUAAAGGCCUACCAAGGCGACGAUCAGUCACUGGUCUGAGAGGCCGAUCAGCCACACUGGGACUGAGACACGGCCCAGACUCCUACGGGAGGCAGCAGUGGGGAAUUUUGGACAAUGGGCGAAAGCCUGAUCCAGCAAUGCCGCGUGUGUGAAGAAGGCCUUCGGGUUGUAAAGCACUUUUGCCCGGAAAGAAAUGGCUCUGGUUAAUACCUGGGGUCGAUGACGGUACCGGAAGAAUAAGCACCGGCUAACUACGUGCCAGCCGCCGCCGUAA
rnacentral:rRNA from 1 species